rnacentral:rRNA from 1 species
AGUGAACGCUGGCGGUAGGCCUAACACAUGCAAGUCGAACGGCAGCACAGUAAGAGCUUGCUCUUACGGGUGGCGAGUGGCGGACGGGUGAGGAAUACAUCGGAAUCUACCUUUUCGUGGGGGAUAACGUAGGGAAACUUACGCUAAUACCGCAUACGACCUACGGGUGAAAGCAGGGGAUCUUCGGACCUUGCGCGAUUGAAUGAGCCGAUGUCGGAUUAGCUAGUUGGCGGGGUAAAGGCCCGCCAAGGCGACGAUCCGUAGCUGGUCUGAGAGGAUGAUCAGCCACACUGGAACUGAGACACGGUCCAGACUCCUACGGGAGGCAGCAGUGGGGAAUAUUGGACAAUGGGCGCAAGCCUGAUCCAGCCAUACCGCGUGGGUGAAGAAGGCCUUCGGGUUGUAAAGCCCUUUUGUUGGGAAAGAAAAGCAGCAGGUUAAUACCCCGCUGUUCUGACGGUACCCAAAGAAUAAGCACCGGCUAACUUCGUG